ACACUUCCCUACUUUUGCAGUACAAGUAGAGCAGGAUGGGAAUCUUUGUGUUGAAGCCCAUGAGAAAAGUUAUGUACCAACUAAUUCUCAAAAUACCAUUGGUUGAUGAGCUCAAGUUCAGAAACUCUAAGUGUAUCUUCAAAACAUUGCAUAGAAUACAUUAUGUAAGUUCUUGUCAUAAAGUCAAGUGUCAGUUGUGUAGAUUAUCACAUUAAGAUGCAAUAUGAGGUCAGACUGAAGUCACGGGAAGCUGCCUUAUAAUGUGUCAGAUCAUGUUCCCACUACCCCAUUACAGUCAACACUUAUUUCACUAGUUGGAUGUUAAUAGAUAUAUCAAGGCUGACUUACACCUCUAUUUGGAUGCUGCGGCUGUUAAAUCCAAACUUGUUUUCAUUUGAAUUGGGAAUAUCAGCAGUCUACUUUACUUCCUGCAUGAUUUCUUCCUUUUUUGUUUUUGGAUAGAAUUUCUAGUUCUUAUGGUUUUUCUGCCCUGGAUGCCAUGCUUCCUAAAUCCAGUUUGUCCCAGUGAUUUCAAAAAGAAUCAGAGGAUUUGAAAUAUGUGUAAGAGUGUGAGGAUGUCAGAGAGUCCUGGCCUUGGAGUAAGGAAAACAUACUCCCUUAAGCAAAGGGGAAAAGACACAAACCAUGUUGAUGAAUGUCAGCUGGUGAUUAUGAAGGUGAGUAUGAAGGGUGGCACUGGGGGAAGAAAAAAAAAAACACGAAAAGUAAAAGUCCUGAGAAGGGAGGAGACCUGACAUCUUUGGAUCUGACUGAUACAACAGCAAUAAAGAACUAUGGUUUUGGAAUAUAUGCAUUUGGACUAUAUGUACAUACUGAGAUGCCCUGGAGUUGUGGCCCAAGCCUAAACACAAGAUUCAUUUAUGUUUCAUACACACCAUAUACACAUAGACUGAAGGUAAUUUUAUGCCCAAUAUUUUAAAUAAUUCUGUACAGCAAAAAAAGUUUGUAUACAUUGAUUCACCAGAAAGCAAAGGUGUCAAUUUUGGAUUUUGGAGGAUUUCAGAAUUCCAGAUAAGGGAUGGUCAACCUUAGGGAACAAAGAAAGAAAUACCCAGACAGUUUUUAAACAUGAAUUUUAUUAUUAGUUAUUAGUUUAAUCUCUGUUUUGUGUAAUUUAAUAAGUAUUUUAAUGUGUGUAUUUGUACUAUUUUUACAAUGUUUAGGUAUUUUUUGCAAUGUUUAAAUUAUUCUGUAAGCAGCCUCAAUUAUGAUAAUAAUUAUUAUAUUCACAGUUAAAUUAUAAUACAUUCAACAUAUAUUUUAUCCUUGUAAAGUGGGUCUAGCAUACUUAUACGCGCUUCUUAAUCAUAAGGCAGUGCCUUGGUGCUCUUUCUCUUCAUGAUUCUCCUCCUGUCUCCUCCUUUUUGCAGCUGUUUUGCUCCAUCCACUGCCAAUGCUAUUGCUACUCCUGGCACAGAGAGAAAUGCUACUGGAUAAAAUGGCAAAGGAAGAUGGGCCAAAAUUGCAGAAAAAUCUAUUUCCAUUUUCAGAAAAGAGCAGUGUCAAUGUUCGGAAUGGCACUGGGGAGAGAAUGUAUUUUAUGUUUGCCUUAAGUUUUAACAUUAAAACAUAGAUGUUAAAUUAAUCAAUAUCAAUGUAAUAGGUUAAAAUCUGAAUAUAGUAAAGGGAAGAUAGAGACAAAUCAAGAAAAUAUAGUCUCUUCGAACAUAUCUGUUUGGGUUGGUGUAUUUUAAAUUCAAAAAUGUCACAGGGAUUGACAAUGUAACUUUUAGUCCAUAUUUGUCAGCAAAACCCAGGGAUUUUGAAGAUUUUGGAAAAGCCAGUUUUAUAUCACAGGAAAUUGGAGAUUUAUGUUCAAAACAGAAAUACCUAUCUCCUUGCUUGUAAUUCAGGAAUCAAGGGCAUGCCGGAGACAAUGCUGGAUAUAUAAGUCUUCAAUGAUCAGAUGUUUUGAAACAAAAGAAAGUAAGAAAUUCCAUAUGCAAAAUUAUGCAGAUUACAAUUUCAUUUUUUGUCUAGGAAUUGGUUCAAUCUAAUUAGAAUAUCAGUGGAAUUCAUCCCAGAAUCUGAACUGAUUUACACAUUUACCAUACUGUGCUCAGUUGAAAAGAAUUAUCUGUUUUGUUAUUUUAUACAAAUUUUAUACAAAUACCAAUGCCACUGUCAUGUGAAGAACUUUAUUAGAAGAAGCUAGACAAAGACUAAAGUGGUAUAGCCUACCGCAGCAGUUCUCAAACUGUGCUCCACAGGGGCUCCUCACCCCCCGGUUCCUCCCUGUCUAAGAAGCAUGUGGCCAGUGGAGCCCCACUGCCACCAGCAUAGCCUAUCCCAAUGCUGCCAUGGCCUGCAAGGCCUCCCUGCUGCUGCUUUCCCUACAUGGCAUAAACAGGUUGGACUGGGGGGCAGGCUGGAGUUGCUGUUGUUGUUAUUAUUAUUAUUAUUAUUAUUAUUAUUAUUAUUAUUAUUAUUUCAAAGAUUGGAUGGUUAUCUGUUGGGGUGCUUUGAUUUGUGCUUUUACUGCAUGGCAGAAACAGGUUAGACUGGGUGGCCCCUGGAGUUGCUCCUAUUAUUAUUAUCAUUGCUCUUAGAUCACAUGAUGUUAAUGCGUUAAUUGUGUUUUAAUUGUAUUUUAAUGUGCAUUUUAAAUGACUUUCUUUGUAUUUUGUUUUAAAGGCAUUAAAUUACUGACACGUUGUCAAGCCGCUCUGAGUCCCCUCUGGGGUGAGAAGGGCAGGGUAAAAGCAUAGUAAAUAAAUAAAAUAAAUUCUUAUUCUUAUUCUUAUUCUUAUUAUUAUUAUUAUUAUUUCAAAGACUGGAUGCUAAUCUGUUGUGGUUGAUUUGAUUUAUGUUUCUAUUGCAUGGCAGAAGCAGGUUGGACUGGGUGAACCCUGGGGUUGCUUCUAUUAUUAAUAUGUAUUGUAUGGAAAUAUGUUUUAAUAUGUGUAUUUUACUAAGUGUUUUGAAAUGAUUAUAUGUUUUGAUUGUGUGUUUUAGCAAUGCUGUAACCCACCUCGAGCCGUGAGGUGAGGUGGGUAAGUAAUAAUAAUAAUUAUUGCAAUAUUAUUAUUGCAAAGGCUGGAUGGCCCCUGGCAUCUUCCAGUGAAAUACUGUUAAGUUUAUAUUAGUUAAAAUUGUUGUUCAUUUAAAAUAUUGUUCUGUUCUUUCUUUCUUUUUUUGUAUUACAAGAUAUGUGCAGUAUGCAUAGGAAUUUGUUCGUGUUUUUUCAGUUAGUUCACACAUUCUCUAUCUAUCUACCAUUGGCUCAUCUGUCAAAUUUUAAAAUGCAUUGUGACCCCUGUGUCUGAAAGUUUCUGGGGGCUCCAUGAGAAAUCUUUCCUUCAAAAUGGGCUCCACUGCUUUAAAAGUCUGAGAGCCCCUGGUCUACAGGAUCCUAUCCUGCUUCACCUCACAUGACAUCAUGAUGACAAGGGUGGAGGGAAGAAUCCAGGGAAGUAAUGGGAAGUUAUACUUCCACCACCUGUGACCUAUUAGCAGUUUCACAAUGGUGCAGAUGUCAUUGUUGUGUGCCAUUAGAACAUGGGCCAUUAUGAUAGUCUGCCUCACUAAACUUCUUCUGCCUGGCUUGGUGAAACAGAAAAAAGGGCAGCUGAGUUAGGGGUGGUUUUCAAGUUUAUUUGGGGACUAGGAGAAAGAGAAGAAAGUGUCUAGGAGGUUUCUUCUCAUUGAGGUUUUAGGGACUCUUAAAGCCUCUAACUUGUCCCCCCCUUGUUAAUCAAUAUAUUAUUUCCAUACCUACUAGACAGGACAACAACCUGAUCUUGUCAUGCCUUUUUAUCAUAUCUAUUUAGUCAUAUCUGUUUUACAGGAUCAUUCUGGGAUAAUAUGGCAGCCUAUAAAUGUCCAUGAGUCAUGGAUGCUGUUCUUUGGCCUAUGGUCUGUUAUAAUGUCUUACAGUAAGUCCUCACAGGCUUCUCAAAGUUAAUAAUUCAUUUUGGCCUCAUAGAAGCUUACCAAAA
ensembl:lncRNA